CUCCCUUUGAAGAGAACCCUCUGGGAGAGCUUUUUGAUGUAUCUGUAGAAUAAAUUGCUCUUCACGUGUAGAAUUCAGCCGUGGAUUCUCCUGAGUGAGGAGGUCUUUGUGCACAAGCGCUUGCGUGUGCAACGUUAAAUUCGAGUGGAACAUCCAGUGAUGGCCAGGAUGAGGAUGACCAGGAUGAAACAUGCUUUGCUGUUUCUCUGUCUCCCAAAGGAAUCAGGACCAGCAGGAAAAGGCCAAAGAUAAAGAGCAAGCAGUCACCGGUGCAGAAGAAAAUGAGAAUAGUAGAAGUGGAAGAAGAGCCAUUGCUACCAGUAAAGGCGGAGGCUGCAGAAAGAGCAGCUCAGGAACAGGAGAACAGAGCAGAAGUAGCACAGGAAGCGACGGGGCAGUGUGUAUUGUCUGACAUUAUCAUGCUCGUGAUACUCAUCCUCGUUGUAUUCAUGGUCUUCACGCACCUCACUCUGGCAGUGGUGGUCACGGUCUGCUGCUGAGCUUCAGGCUGGGAAGAGAGAGAGAGAGGCAGCAGCCACGUGUCAGCAGUGAGUGCAGAACUGGAGAAUGCGUUUCUUUUCUCUCCCUGAGAUGUGCAAUGAGCUCUUCUGGUGGCCAAUUAAAGGGCUGGGAGGAGAGCGAGAAGUCGGUGCUUUGUGUGUACCUGGUGUUGCUCCAUGCAGUGGUUCCUAUCUGCUGGCAGCGUGAGCUGCUCUGCUGUUCCUCCUCUGAAGCCUGCUUGGCUCAGAGCUGGGAGCUGUGCGUGGCUUGGAGUUAACUGAGCUGCUCCAGGUGGGGUCACCCCAGUUUAGAAUCAUAGAAUCGCCAGGGUUGGAAAAGACCUCCAAGAUCAUCCAAGUCCACCCAUCCACCAACCACCAAUAUUUCUCCACUGAACCACUUACAAGAAGGCCGGGUACCAGAGGUGAUGGCAAAAGAGCAACAAGAGGUUCCUCACCUACUACUGACUGUUAUCUUUGAGAAGGUAAAGCUCCUCUAUGCUCCGGUUGUAUUACAGCUGGGGAAACACCAAGCUGGCAAGACAGGCAAUGGCUCUAACCUAAUACAAGCCAUGGAGGCUCAAGGAAGGGGUUAACCACAUAGCCUUGUCCAUCUGGAAAUGUUACUGAGAAGGGGGAAUGGUGACAGUGCCCGGUGCUGUUAUAUUGGGCCUUUGCUUUGGUAUACAAAUGUUCCUAAUUCCUUCUCUUAAAAAAAUAAUGGAGUGGGAGGAAGAAUGAGAGCAAGAUCCUGGCCAUGUGAGGUGCUGCAGCUUAAGCUGUGCUUCGAAAGGAACCUCUCAGUCUGUUGCAUAGGAGGUGGGCUUGCUGGGUGUGCUGGAAGUGACAGCCGCAGCCUCAGGCAGUGGUAGCAACCCUGAUACUGUGACCAGUCCUGCAAUGGGGUCUGCGCUCAGCUGCAAGUCUCGUUAGAGUUGGAUUUCAAUUAAAAGCACAUUCCUUAAUUCAAACUGGGGAGACACAGAGCUUCCUCCACCCCCGGAGGAGUUCGGUUUGUGCCAAGUCUCCUCCAGCUCCCUGGAAAAGGAGUGUGGCAGCGUGGGAUCCUGCCAGAGCUGAGCAGGAACUCAUCCUCCUUCCCUGGGGGUUGAGCCCAGCACGUGCUGUGCUUGUUCAUUUUAUGGAGCACAUCACCAAAACAAACACGGAGCGGUGCAGAGGUGGUGAGCUGUGCCCCAUCCCACCUCACACCCCCCUGCUCCCAGUUUCCUGGCUUCCCAGGCACUGAAGGUGAUGGUUGGGGUAUCUGUCACACAUGUGAUAACUCAGCUUGUUUUCUUGGCUAACAGCAGUGGGUCAGGUGUGAGGUAAGGAAAUAAGGUUGCAGUGCCUCUCUGUUCUUGCAUGCUGCGUACUAAAGGAGCUAUGGAGGACUGCAUUGGAACUGCUCAUGAUCAUCCCGGGUCGCCUUGGGCACCUCUAAAUACAGUAAUUCUUCCCCAUAAGGUUUUACUUUAAAUGUGUUUGGUAGGGUUUGAGGCCUCGUAGUGCCUGCUUUUGCCCUCUUCCUGUGACUCCUAUGGGAUUGUUGGUGCUCCAUCCCAUUGCCACGCACUGCCCCAGCUCUGCUGCUGACCCAUCCUGGGGACACAUCCCAAGCUCUCCGCAUCUCCAGCUUAAUGCACUGCAACCUUCUCUACCAGAGAGCUGUCAGCAAGGAUCUGUGCCUGGAGGAAACAGCCCAGGCAGAGUAAUGAGAGCAGAAUCAGUGCUAAAUGGGGAACAGCCGAAGUGCUGCAGCAUGGAGGUCAAUUGUAAGCAGCUUUGCUGUAGAAAAGCACUGUGUUCUGAGACACCCCCAGGAUGGGCGGUAGUUGGACUCAAAGAGAGGAGGCUGUAGAGGAUGAGAGGUGGUCUGAUGGGUGAGCAGCUCUUCUUCCUUCACUGUUGGCCUUGUUCUGUGUGGGGAUGGCUUUUCUCUGCUGCCAUCGUCGUCUGAGCAGCUCAGAAUGCACCCAUUGCCCCUCCUGGCUUUGCUGGGCUGAGCUCUGUGCAAACAUUGCUGGAGAUCCUGGAGCAGCCAUGGAAGUGCUUGCUGGGUUGGAUGUGAAUUGCUGCAGACGGACACAUGCAGAGCAUCACAAAGGCAUUGAGUGGUGGAGCCCGGAAUAGAACUUCCAGACCCAAUGAGAACAGGAUAAAAGCACAUUGAUGGAGAUUCAUGUGUUUGCCCAUGAAUUUGGCUUAGGGGAUCAGCAAAACAGAAGGAAGGAGAUGCUCUGGUGGAAGUAUUUCCUUGUGCCAACCUUUGAACCAAAGCAUCUGACAUUACUUCCUUUUGAAAGUGGUCUUCUUCUUAAAGCACUAAAUACUUCCCCAUGCAGCCCCCCCAGAGGAAAGGAAUAUCCUCUACAAUGUGAAUGAACGCUUUUGCCGCUAGGAAUCAAUUCACGGAUGUUAUAUUUCUGCUGAAUCAAAUCAGAAUGAUCCCAAUGCUUUCCCCCCUCCCUGUGCCCCUUUCAGACCUGCUCCUUGCAGCCCUGCUGGGUGCUCUGUCAAUGAUUAACCCCUGCUUCCUUUGAAGCCCAGACAGCAAAACCCACAGUCCAAAGUCCCUGUGCUUGCUCAGGGCUCUGCCCUUGGGCUAUAAAAACCCUCAGGUGCUCCUCUG
ensembl:lncRNA